UACGGGGGGGGCAAGCGUUGUUCGGAAUUACUGGGCGUAAAGGGCUCGUAGGCGGCCAACUAAGUCAGACGUGAAAUCCCUCGGCUUAACCGGGGAACUGCGUCUGAUACUGGAUGGCUUGAGUUUGGGAGAGGAAAGCGGAAUUCCACGUGUAGCGGUGAAAUGCGUAGAGAUGUGGAGGAACACCAGUGGCGAAGGCGGCUUUCUGGACUGUAACUGACGCUGAGGCGCGAAAGCGUGGGGAGCAAACAGG
rnacentral:rRNA from 1 species